rnacentral:lncRNA from 1 species
CCUACGACAGUCCACCAUCAAGCAUUCUGAUUUUCAAUCACCAUCGAACUGGAAGUCCUACAGGGAUCACUGAAUGCGGACGGACGUAUGGGAGACCCUCUGCGAUCAAUGGAGCAGCGAGGAGUAUGCCAAUAGAUGAUAGAGGGUCCGACAGAAUCAGACCAUCUAGCAAGAUCCGAUCAGACAUACGGACGGCUCCAUCGAUACACAUGUUGUGGCCG